UACGAAGGGGGCAAGCGUUGCUCGGAAUUACUGGGCGUAAAGGGCGCGUAGGCGGGAUGGCAAGUCGGUCGUGAAAUCCCUCGGCUCAACUGAGGAUCGUCGAUCGAUACUGCCGUUCUUGAGGAUUGCAGAGGAGACUGGAAUUCCCGGUGUAGCGGUGAAAUGUGUAGAGAUCGGGAGGAACACCGGUGGCGAAGGCGGCCCACUGGUCCGGUACUGACGCUGAGGUGCGAAAGCGUGGGGAGCAAACAGG
rnacentral:rRNA from 1 species